GACGAACGCUGGCGGCGUGCCUAAUACAUGCAAGUCGAGCGAGCGGAACUAACAGAUUUACUUCGGUAAUGACGUUAGGAAAGCGAGCGGCGGAUGGGUGAGUAACACGUGGGGAACCUGCCCCAUAGUCUGGGAUACCACUUGGAAACAGGUGCUAAUACCGGAUAAGAAAGCAGAUCGCAUGAUCAGCUUUUAAAAGGCGGCGUAAGCUGUCGCUACGGGAUGGCCCCGCGGUGCAUUAGCUAGUUGGUAAGGUAAAGGCUUACCAAGGCGAUGAUGCGUAGCCGAGUUGAGAGACUGAUCGGCGACAUUGGGACUGAAACACGGCCCAAGCUCCUACGGGAGGCCGCAGUAGGGAAUCUUCCACAAUGGACGCAAGUCUGAUGGAGCAGCGCCGCGUGAGUGAAGAAGGUUUUCGGAUCGUAAAGCUCUGUUGUUGGUGAAGAAGGAUAGAGGUAGUAACUGACCUUUAUUUGACGGUAAUCAACCAGAAAGUCACGGCUAACUACGUG
rnacentral:rRNA from 1 species